ACAUCUAUUAACUUUUAUGGAUAAUUCUUUUUGAACAAAACUAAUCUCAUAUUUUGGAUUCUUAAAAUGGCUUUGGUUUCAACUCGUUUUAGGCAAGCCUGAUCAAAACUUCUCAGGUUUUAUUUUUAAUUUGUGCGAUAGGAUUAUUAUUUUUAUUUUGUUUAGCUGUACUAAUCAUUUUUAGAAGAAAAUGUUCCUUUCUUGAUAAAACUUUUAAAAAAAAUACAUUUUGUGCAGAGUUCUUAAUUUCCAUAACAGCCCACCUGAUGUGUAAAAUAUGUUGGUGCACAGUAAAAUUUCACAGUGUGUGCUUUCCUGUCCUUCUUUUUCCUGGUAUAGUUGGGGUGUAACUUGACUUAGACACUACUAAUUGUUAUAAACCUCCAGUACCCUUGAUUUGCCAAAUAAGUUUGAAGAACAAAGUGUAUCAUUUUCUGUUACCUUAACUCUCACAAUGCUGUAUCACAUAAUAAAGCCUCAACAGACUUGGAUUAAAA
rnacentral:lncRNA from 10 species